rnacentral:rRNA from 1 species
UAGGGAAUCUUCCGCAAUGGGCGAAAGCCUGACGGAGCAACGCCGCGUGAGUGAUGAAGGUCUUCGGAUCGUAAAACUCUGUUAUUAGGGAAGAAUAAAUGUGUAAGUAACUAUGCACGUCUUGACGGUACCUAAUCAGAAAGCCACGGCUAACUACGUGCCAGCAGCCGCGGUAAUACGUAGGUGGCAAGCGUUAUCCGGAAUUAUUGGGCGUAAAGCGCGCGUAGGCGGUUUUUUAAGUCUGAUGUGAAAGCCCACGGCUCAACCGUGGAGGGUCAUUGGAAACUGGAAAACUUGAGUGCAGAAGAGGAAAGUGGAAUUCCAUGUGUAGCGGUGAAAUGCGCAGAGAUAUGGAGGAACACCAGUGGCGAAAGCGGCUCUCUGGUCUGUAACUGACGCUGAGGCUCGAAAGCGUGGGGAGCGAACAGG